rnacentral:rRNA from 1 species
AGUGAACGCUGGCGGUAGGCCUAACACAUGCAAGUCGAACGGCAGCACAGUAAGAGCUUGCUCUUACGGGUGGCGAGUGGCGGACGGGUGAGGAAUACAUCGGAAUCUACUUUUUCGUGGGGGAUAACGUAGGGAAACUUACGCUAAUACCGCAUACGACCUACGGGUGAAAGCAGGGGAUCUUCGGACCUUGCGCGAUUGAAUGAGCCGAUGUCGGAUUAGCUAGUUGGCGGGGUGAAGGCCCACCAAGGCGACGAUCCGUAGCUGGUCUGAGAGGAUGAUCAGCCACACUGGAACUGAGACACGGUCCAGACUCCUACGGGAGGCAGCAGUGGGGAAUAUUGGACAAUGGGCGCAAGCCUGAUCCAGCCAUACCGCGUGGGUGAAGAAGGCCUUCGGGUUGUAAAGCCCUUUUGUUGGGAAAGAAAAGCAGCAGGUUAAUACCCCGCUGCUCUGACGGUACCCAAAGAAUAAGCACCGGCUAACUUCGUG